GUUAGAGGUAUAUUUUUAAAAAGACAAAAAGUUGUUGCAGCCUAUAGCAAUAUACCUAAUGGCGACCAAGAAAAUUCCAUCUCUUUUAUUAUUUUCCCUGGUGGUCUUCCUCAUAUCUCUACCCAUAAUUUCAGGCGUCUACUGUACACCGAAGGGGCCAUGUGAGGACACCAAGAAAUGCAAUAUCCAUUGUUUAUUGCUGGGUUACAAAGAUGGGGGAGUUUGUGAUACAUUUGGAACUACAUUUUGUUGUUGCAUUACAUCUGAAGGUCCUCCUAUAUCCAAUCUUCCUGAACACUAAUUAUUUUUAAUCAAUAUGUAUUCACAG